CAGUAGCCACGGGAAUACGUAGGCGGCAAGCGUUGUCCGGAAUUAUUGGGCGUAAAGGGAGCGCAGGUGGGACGGUAAGUCCGUCUUAAAAGGCAGGGGCUCAGCCCCUGUAAGGGAUGGAAACUAUCGAUCUUGAGUGCCGGAGAGGAAAGCGGAAUUCCCAGUGUAGCGGUGAAAUGCGUAGAUAUUGGGAAGAACACCAGUGGCGAAGGCGGCCUUCUGGACGGCAACUGACACUGAGGCUCGAAAGCCAGGGGAGCGAACGGGAUUAGAUACCCCUGUAGUCCUGUCUCUUAUACAC
rnacentral:rRNA from 1 species